rnacentral:rRNA from 1 species
GAUGAACGCUGGCGGCGUGCCUAAUACAUGCAAGUCGAGCGAACGGACGAGAAGCUUGCUUCUCUGAUGUUAGCGGCGGACGGGUGAGUAACACGUGGAUAACCUACCUAUAAGACUGGGAUAACUUCGGGAAACCGUAGCUAAUACCGGAUAAUAUUUUGAACCGCAUGGUUCAAAAGUGAAAGACGGUCUUGCUGUCACUUAUAGAUGGAUCCGCGCUGCAUUAGCUAGUUGGUAAGGUAACGGCUUACCAAGGCAACGAUGCAUAGCCGACCUGAGAGGGUGAUCGGCCACACUGGAACUGAGACACGGUCCAGACUCCUACGGGAGGCAGCAGUAGGAAAUCUUCCGCAAUGGGCGAAAGCCUGACGGAGCAACGUCGCGUGAGUGAUGAAGGUCUUCGGAUCGUAAAACUCUGUUAUUAGGGAAGAACAUAUGUGUAAGUAACUGUGCACAGCUUGACGGUACCUAAUCAGAAAGCCACGGCUAACUACGUG